GCUUGCUUCCUAUGAAAAUCGAGUGGCAAAACGGGUGAGUAAACGCGUAAAACAAAACCUGCCCUUCGGAUGGGGAUAACAGCCGGAAACGGCUGCUAAUACCGAAUACGAUCUUUUCGUCGCAUGACGGAAAGAAGAAAAGGAUGGCCUCUAUACAAAGCUAUCGCCGAAGGAGGGGUUUGCGUCUGAUUAGCUGGUUGGAGGGUAACGGCCCAACAAGGCGAUGAUCAGUAGCCCCGGUCUGAGAGGAUGAACGGCCACAUUGGGACUGAGACACGGCCCAGACUCCUACGGGAGGCAGCAGUGGGGGAAUCUUCCGCAAUGGACGAAAGUCUGACGGAGCAACGCCGCGUGAGUGAAGAAGGUCUUCGGAUUGUAAAACUCUGUUAUACGGGACGAAAAAGGCGGAUGCCAACAGUAUCCGUCCGUGACGGUACCGUAAGAGAAAGCCACGGCUAACUACGUGCCAGCAGCCGCGGUAAU
rnacentral:rRNA from 1 species